GAAUGAUUUGUGAAGUUGAACAUUUUCUCACAAAGAAUCCGUUUGUAGACAUGUACACUCAUUUAAUCUGCAGCUACGAAGUACUUUGUCACUUCUCUGGAACAUUAUUCUAAGCAGAAUUAUGCCGAUUCAUAUAUUCUAAGAAUCUUGUGUGAAUUGUUUACGAGGAAAUUCUGACUGUCACAUUAACAAGGAUGAACACUCUUGACUCUGCUUCGGAUUCCCCAGUGAUAAUUGUAUCGUGUGAUGAAAGAGCUGACGGCGACAUUUUAAUGUAUGAUUGGCUUGGACCAUUGGAAUGAAGUCAUUUCAUGGUGCCACCACUUGGGAUGGUAUUUAAGCUGCAAAUAUAGACUUGUACUCAGCACUUAUUGCCUUUAAGAAGUAUGAGAUCCAUUUUGUGCUAACACCUACCGUGACACAGAAUCUUGGUUUAUGCAGUCUCAUAGGAGUAACCUGUCUAAAGCAUUUAGCAAUGGGAUUGGAACCUGCGACGUGUGACUCAUCUGAAUACUGAAUUUUGAUACCAAGCAUGACCAUGAUUUGCCAGAAGAUCAUCUGUUUGGAUGUGACAUGGAAUAAACAGCAUAGUGAAAAUAAGUCAAGUUUUGGUUUGUGAAGACAAUUUUUAAACACACUGUGUAUCAUUUUUAAAUUUUGAUUUGACAACAUAAAUCCACAAAUAUGAACAUAUCAAUUGCUCUCAGUUUUUCAAGUGAAAUAGUUUUUGUAACAGAAAUACAUGUACCAGUAAUUACAUUGGAAUAAAUGUUAUUUUUAAAUAUAAUAAUAUUUUGUUUGUGUAGCAUGUUGACCUCUUUAUUAAGGUCUUCCCUUUCAAAGUUUAGACUUACUUAUUCUAAUGAUUAAGAUAGAUCCUCUGUCUUCAGCAGGAAUAUAAGAUCUUGUAAUACAUGUAUGUGUAUUUUUUACAGUAUAAUGUAAAAAAAAUUGUUAUUUUGGCACAUACAACUAAUUAAAGGCAUAAACAUGUGUAUGAUUCCAAGGAAUUCAGUACAUAGGGCAUGUACAUGUAGUUUUCUAAAACAAGAUUGAAGAGAUGUCCAGUCGCAUUUCAAUGUCAACUCCAAAACUGUGCCUGUUGCAUACUUAUUAGCCCAUCUGAACUAAAGGAACCAGUAAAUUUUUUAAAAACAUAAUUUUAUCCAUUAUCAUCAUUGUCUAAAAUUUCACAAUAUCAUUUUCCAGAACCAAAGUGAAACUAGGCACAGAGCAUCCUUAGUGUAGGGGAUUCAAAUUGUUCUUAUGCAGGGCAAUACCUUCAAAGAGAUUUGUUUCUUUAAUGCUGUAAAUGUAUUAUAUUUAGCUUGUACAAUAUUUGGUGGAAAUUGACUUUUGAAUAAGUUAGCGUAGAUAUUCUUAUUUAUGUUUAUGUACAAGACUUUUAGCUUUGUACUUGAUUUAGUGAUUGCUGCAUUCCGCCAAAGCCGCUAAAAAAGAAUACACAGCCAUAUGUAAUAUGUUCAUAAUAUACCUUUCAGAGAAUUUUACACUCCUAUUGAGGUACCACCAGUUGCUAGUGGAAAGCUUCAAAUUCCAAACAUACACAACACAU